UACGGAGGGUGCGAGCGUUGUCCGGAAUCAUUGGGCGUAAGGGCGCGUAGGUGGCCCCUCAAGCGUGCGGUGAAAGUCAGGGGCUCAACCCCUGAUCGGCCGUGCGAACUGGGGAGCUUGAGCACUGUAGAGGCAGGCGGAAUUCCGGGUGUAGCGGUGGAAUGCGUAGAGAUCCGGAAGAACACCGGUGGCGAAGGCGGCCUGCUGGGCAGUAGCUGACGCUGAGGCGCGACAGCGUGGGGAGCAAACAGG
rnacentral:rRNA from 1 species